UACGGAGGGUGCAAGCGUUGUCCGGAAUCACUGGGCGUAAAGGGCGCGUAGGCGGCCCGGUAAGUAGGGGUGAAAUCCUGCGGCUUAACCGCAGGGCUGCCUUCUAAACUGUCGGGCUCGAGCACGGUAGAGGCAGAUGGAAUUCCCGUGUAGCGGUGAAAUGCGUAGAUAUCGAGAGGAACACCUGCGGCGAAGGCGGUUGCUGGCUGACACGUGACGCUGAUGCGCGAAAGCUAGGGAGCGAAGCGGG
rnacentral:rRNA from 1 species